GAUUGAACGCUGGCGGCAGGCCUAACACAUGCAAGUCGAGCGGUAGCACAGAGAGCUUGCUCUCGGGUGACGAGCGGCGGACGGGUGAGUAAUGUCUGGGAAACUGCCUGAUGGAGGGGGAUAACUACUGGAAACGGUAGCUAAUACCGCAUAAUGUCGCAAGACCAAAGUGGGGGACCUUCGGGCCUCAUGCCAUCAGAUGUGCCCAGAUGGGAUUAGCUAGUAGGUGGGGUAACGGCUCACCUAGGCGACGAUCCCUAGCUGGUCUGAGAGGAUGACCAGCCACACUGGAACUGAGACACGGUCCAGACUCCUACGGGAGGCAGCAGUGGGGAAUAUUGCACAAUGGGCGCAAGCCUGAUGCAGCCAUGCCGCGUGUGUGAAGAAGGCCUUCGGGUUGUAAAGCACUUUCAGCGGGGAGGAAGGCGAUGAGGUUAAUAACCUUGUCGAUUGACGUUACCCGCAGAAGAAGCACCGGCUAACUCCGUGCCAGCAGCCGCGGUAAUACGGAGGGUGCAAGCGUUAAUCGGAAUUACUGGGCGUAAAGCGCACGCAGGCGGUCUGUCAAGUCGGAUGUGAAAUCCCCGGGCUCAACCUGGGAACUGCAUUCGAAACUGGCAGGCUAGAGUCUUGUAGAGGGGGGUAGAAUUCCAGGUGUAGCGGUGAAAUGCGUAGAGAUCUGGAGGAAUACCGGUGGCGAAGGCGGCCCCCUGGACAAAGACUGACGCUCAGGUGCGAAAGCGUG
rnacentral:rRNA from 1 species